rnacentral:rRNA from 1 species
GAUGCUAAUACCGGAUAACAACAGAUGAUGCCUAUCAACUGUUUAAAAGAUGGUUCUGCUAUCACUCUUGGAUGGACCUGCGGUGCAUUAGCUAGUUGGUAGGGUAACGGCCUACCAAGGCGAUGAUGCAUAGCCGAGUUGAGAGACUGAUCGGCCACAUUGGGACUGAGACACGGCCCAAACUCCUACGGGAGGCAGCAGUG